CCGAGCUUAGCUCAGUUGGCAGAGCAUCCGACUGUAGAUCGGAGGGUCACCGGUUCAAUCCCGGUAGCUCGGA
rnacentral:tRNA from 1 species